UUUAUUUUGUUUGUUAUGUGGUUACGUGAUAUUAUGUGGUUAGUCGAUGUUAUGUUGGUUUUUGAUUGUUUUAAUCGAAAUGAAUUAUGGAUGCUAGAACCCUAAAACACUAAAAGAUACCCUAGGCACGUAGAAUUAGACUUUGUCUUGUGACAAUUUUCUUCACGAACUUACCGACUCUUCAUCAAUAAAGGUCCGGGCGACAGGAAGUGAAGCCGAAGAAGAAGCGACUCCACGCUAGCUUAAGAACGUUUGAGGUGGGCAUUACUUUUACUAUACGUAUAUAGAGAUCCCCUGCGUGUCGUAGGCCUCUUAUACGAAUAUAUGCAUGAGAUGAUUUUAACUGUUAAUUUCAGUUUAUUAUUAUGCCCAAAUGAUAAAUGACUCUUAUGAAUGAAAUGGAAUGUUUAUGAAUGAAUGAAAUGAAUGUUAUGAAAUGAUUGACUAACCAAAAUUGUUAUGUUUUACGUAUGUAUCCUAUCUUUGUUGGUUCGNNNNNNNNNNNUUAGUUUGCUGUCAGUUCUCGAAGUACUAGAAGGUGAUAUUCUCACAGUUAGAAAGAUACACUAAGUAUCAACCUAUCUUUUGACCGAUAGUCGGUAGAAACAAAGCAACUUCUGGAAUCCCAAGUGGAGAACCAGGACAGAUAACUAGUAUGAUAGAGUUUUCAACAAAAUUUCAGGACGAAUGUGGUGGACACUUAUGAGAAACGCGUGAAGGAGUUCGCAAACGAAUGGCGUCAUGAGAUAUUCAAUUCCCCUACCAAGCCAAAGAAAUAUUACGUAGGAGCAACCAACGAGCAAGACUCUCACCAUCGAAUCACUGCUACCAAGGGAGAAUGGGAAGACUCCGACACAAUCUGGAUAUACACCACCUCAAGAUGUGGUGAAGGAAAGAAAAUGGAAUGAAGAAAACAACAGAAAAAUUCGAGAAUAGAAAAAGAACUUUAGAAUAAGACUUAAGAUCCAACCCAACCUCAAAGCCAACAACCUCACACUAGAAGGGUGAUUGCUUCGGCUAAAGUGUCAAAAGCUCCAUCAAUAGGAAGCAAGUAUUUGUUUUAAACUUCAGAGAACUUGAGCACUAUGUCUCAUUAGCCCCAAAGUUGAAUUACUUGACUUAUGACUUAGAACUCGUUGUGGUUGUGCACGUGUUGGAAAUUUGGAGAUACUAUCUCUACGGAGUUAAGUGUGAGGUCCUUAUAGCUGACAAGAAUUUGAAGUGCUUUUUCGAGCAAAGAGAUUUCAAUGUAAGACAACAGAGACGAUUCGAAUUAGUGAAGAAUUAUGAUGGUACCAUCAAUUGGAAAUUAAAAGAAGAUGUUUCACCACUAAAAAUGAAGUAUUGAUUGGUGAUUGCCUUAUUCAGUUUAGUAAUUGUUCAGCAUCCAGAGACAAUAUCAAGCUGUGUAGUUGCAUUAAUAGUUAAGUGUGAAUUGCGGGAAAGGAUUAUAAAAGCAUGAAAUGAAAAUGGAUAUUGGUGAGAAAAUGUGUCUCGCCUUGAGAAUGAGAAAAACGAAAGGAUUCGCGAAAGUCAGGAAUAAUGCACUAAUGGUUAGUGGAGGAUUGUGGAUGUAUACACUAGGUAUUAAGUCUCGCAGUUAAGAAAGUAUGUGAUUAAGAAAUAUGAGAUAGUCCAAGCUCAAGGCUUAAGUUAUGAAGAGAAAUCAGUUUAGUGACUAGAUUGUAAGGUUCAAGUUUUACGAGAACAAUGAUAUUGUUCUCGUCAUGUAGUGGAACCAUCACAUGAUGGAAAAGGCCACAUAAGAAGCAAAUGAAACAAAUGACUAGUAUAUCUCGAACUAGAUUACCCAGAUAUGCAAUUUCGAGGACGAAAUUUUUAUAAGGAGGGAGGAAUGUAACACCCCGCCUAUUUAUAUUAAGUUUAGAAUUUAUUUUAAACUUAGAUUAGGAUGAUUUAUGCCGGAAAAAUGAAAAAUGAAUUUAUUUUAAUUCCAACAAAAAUAAUUUACAAAAGCUUUGGUAAAUUUAGUUAUUUAAAUUUAUACGCAUUGCAUAUUUAUUUAAUUUAGCAUUUAAGCAUUUUCACGAGCUUUUGAUUAGCAAGAUUUGAAAGGAAUUCCUUUUAUAAAUGCACCAAGGAUUUAAUUACAUUCCCAUUACAAUUUUACUACAUCUAUUAUUCCUACAUUAUACAAUAAAGAAAGUUACAUUGGUACUCAUUUAUACAUAGACAUAUACACACAUUUAUAAGAUACAAGUACACCAAAUACCAACACCUCCCCAUCACCUACGACACCCUCCCUGCAGCUUUAUUUCAUUCACACAAUUAAAGUCUAUGCCUACACUCUAUUUUCCUUCUUUCACACAAUUAAAGUCUAUUCCUACACUCUAUUUUCCUUCAUUCACACAAUUAAAGUCUAUUCCUACACUCUAUUUUCCUUCAUUCACACAUCUACUCUUGAAAGAGCAACAACAUAGUCGUGCAGUCACCCCACCCUGUGCAUCCCUUUAUCUCAUCAGCCAAAGUCCUCCUUCAUCCCACACAACACUCUCUCGCCAAAAAAAAAACUCAGACACGAUUUUAUUCCAUCUACACCACACAGCAACAAAUCCAGUGGAAGGUUAUAUUUCUAACUCAUCCAGUUCAUGCCAAAUUCAUCAAUUCUUAGCCGAGAAAAGCACAAACACACAUCCAUCAUCUCAUCAAGAUAUAUGCACAUAUAUAUAUAUAUAUAUAUUUGUGUAUAUAUUUACAUUCAGAACAUGACUGUGUUUUUAAAAGAAAAGGAAGAAAGGUUGAGUCUUGGUUGUGUGUUUACUGUCGAGUCGAGAGUCGAGGGAGGCAGGGCACGGCGGCUGUGCCGCUGCUGCCCGGCCACGGUUGGAGAGAAUGAGGUGGGUUGGUCGGAGCUGGUUUGGGUGGAGGGCUGAACGGAGGACGACGGCGGCUGUGGCCUGAUGCUCCUGCUGCCCGUCGAUCCAGAGAGAGAGAGAGGGGNGGCUAGUGUUGGGCUAAGUUUGGGCUUGUUAGUGGGCCGAUUUUUGCUUUAAUUUUCAGUGGGCUUGAGUUGGGCUGUGUUUUUUUUUUUAUUUUGGGCUUAUUUUUCUUUAUUUCAUCUUGGCCUCUAAUUUUUAAUUCAUGGUUUGGCCUUUAUUAUUUAAUUGAAUUGUGCUUUUUUAUUUUUAAUUAAUUUAAUUAUUAUUAGUUUGAUUAAUUUAUUUUUAAAGGAUAAUUUUUCAUAAUAAUAUCAUAUUAUUAUUAUGUGCAUAUUUUAAGUAAUUUCUUAUUAUAUGCCAAGCAUGACAUGAAAUUGCAUUAUAUUUUUGCAAUAAGAGUAUUUAAGAUUCAAUUGGUUUUAUUUAUAAUUCCAAUUAUUAAAGAAAUAUGAGUAAGAAUAUUGUUGGUGUUCUUAACUCAAGAGAAAUGUUUUCAAUUAUUUAUUCAUUAAAUUUUGGAAACCCGGCGUGAUGAAUCAAGUAUGUUUAGUACAUUCACUAAGACUUUAAGUUAGCUUCACGAGACCUAUUAAGAAUAGAAUUUUGUAGGCUUUGUGACCAAGGGGAUUAGCGCUGCUUUCCCAAGACGAGUUUAUGUGAUUAUGAUCUUCAGGCUUUGCCUAUCCAGGUGGGCAUUACUUUCAUAUAUAUCAAAAUGAGUUUAAAUGUUACGUUCAAGUCAAGUUAUUUCAUGCAAAAAUCUCUGAGUUAAAGUAUUUCAAGUAUUGUCUUGCCAUAAAAUGUUUAAAUUUUAGUAUGAUAUCUAUCUGCUUUGGCUUUGCCAAUGAUGCAAUCGAAUUCGGGUCCUGAGCAGUUGAUAGCUAUCCUGCCAGGGCUAGUGUACACCAGUGACCGUGAGUCAUCUAGCGGGUUGGCCGGUCAAGUGACCGUGAGAGGUGGCCACCUCUCCGGCACAAAGUUCCAGAUAUAAUAGAUUACAAGAGAACUUAGUCUGCAAACGAACUUUAAGAAUCACAAAUGAACUUAGUAAGCUUGGGCCUUUUAGCGAAAAACUCCCUUGUUGUACUGUUUAUGAUGGCAUGACAAUUUACAGUUUUGAGCAUGUAUUUUUAUACUUAGGCAUACGUGCCCACUGAGUAUUUUUAUACUCAGCCCUGCAUGUAUUUCUAAAUGUGCAGGUUGAGCAGCUGAUGGAAUGGAAUGGUGUUGAGCGGGUGUUCCUUUGAUCGUUUCAAGAAAUGUAACCUUGAGUAUACAUCUUCAUAUGUAUAUCUCACACGUUUUCCGCUGCAAAAUACUUUGAUUAGGAUAGCUCUAUGUUAUGAAGUUGGGAUACGUGUUAUUGGGUAACCCACCUUAAUCAGUUCUCAUUUAUGUGUAUGUUUUAUAAGUAUCCAAAUAAUCAUAUAUGAUCCUAGCAUUUUAUCUAUGAGUG
rnacentral:lncRNA from 1 species